GCCUACAACAUAGCGUUAAUGCAACGGAUACCAUUAGAACUCUGCAGUUAAGCAUGCGCAGGAUAGCAUAGUACUAGGAUGGGUGACCUCUCGCAAAGUCGUAGUAAUUUAUAUGCC
rfam:Picea glauca, whole genome shotgun sequence.